rnacentral:misc_RNA from 1 species
UUUCCGUAGGUGAACCUGCGGAAGGAUCAUUAAAGUUCUACUCCCCCGGCCCUCUGGGCUGGGGUUUUCUGUACCACCCUUUGUUUAAUACACCUUUGUUGCUUUGGUAGUACUGUCCUCACGCUGCUGGCUCCGGCCGACUCGCGUCUCCCAGAGGACCUAAACUCUGUUUGUAUAUGAAGUCUGAGUACUAUAUAAUAGUUAAAACUUUCAACAACGGAUCUCUUGGUUCUG